GGGACGUUAGCUCAGUUGGCUAGAGCACCGUGUUCACACCGCGGGGGUCGGAGGUUCGAAUCCUCUACGUCCCACCA
rnacentral:tRNA from 1 species